UCAAGGCAGUUUCAAAUCUAAAAUGUUAGACAUCAGACAUGUUGUAAUUUUUAAAAUACUCUCCUCAUUUGGAGAUAGUGGCCCUAUCUAACGCCCUGCACAAGGCUUGUUGCAAUGCUCAUCGUACACCCCACCCCAUCAGUGUAUUUUCACUCCUUCCUCCUGUCUGGUUUAAACAGCAGCAGAUCUUCUGAAUAUAUCUACACUGAUGGGCGUGGUGUUCUGGAAAUGAGGUGUGUUCAGGUACAUUUCUGGAGUUUUAUCUUGUUUCUCUUGGAAACAGAAAACACAGGAGCUCCACUGACUGAAUACAUAAAUAUAAUAAAAUUAUUCUGUUCUAUUUCUAUUCUACAGAAGGUGAGGAGAUGCUCGCUGCUUCACUUCUUGGGAUCUUUGUUGGAUUCCUGCUGUUCCUGUAAAUAACCUGCAAACACGAGCAGGUCAGUUUCCUCUUUCCUCCAGGUAGCUGCGCCGUUAAAAUAGCGAUCCGCCAAAGUCAGAGCUCACCUGACUCUUAAAGAGAAUGAUGAGCAAGAGACACUCUGAUUGGUUUAUUUCACAUUCACAUUACGCCCAAAAUUAACCACACCCAUGAUUAAAUAACCCUUUCAGACCUGAAUUAUGAGAGCUUAUACAUGCAUUUUGUGUGUUUUGAGCCGCGCACAGGUGUACUUUUCCCGUUGUUACGAUAGCAAAGACACGCUGACGCCCUAAAUCAAUUAGAUCUCCUUCAGAAUGAACAUCUGUAAAAGCUGUAGAUACACACAUUACUCCAUACUGUCUCCUGGUGGUGGGUUAUUACUCCGGUUGAAGGUUAGCAGCGGUUCAGGUGUGUUUAAGCCAUGCAGCAGAAGAGCCAAGCGAGACAGACAGACAGACAGAACCACACAGAAAGCAGAACAGCAGAGUGACGGAGAGAACAGGACCACACCGGGACCGACUCACUUCUGUUCAAAAGUUUUAUUCCAGCAAACUCUUGUUUUAUCAGCUGUUCGUUUCUCCAAAAAAGGUACAAAAAAGAAAAUCUCAAAUACAGGAUUAGAAAUCAUCACAUCAACGAUAAACAUUAAACAAGACACAAUGUGCUUUAUUAUUCUAUCAGACUGUAUAUAAAUAUCAAGCAGAAUAUCAAUAUAUCGUCACUGUCACGCAAAAAUAAAAAAUACUUGUUUCUUUAAAUUUUUGCUACA
rnacentral:lncRNA from 1 species